AGGACGAACGCUGGCGGCGCGCUUAACACAUGCAAGUCGAGCGAGAACCAGCCCUUCGGGGCUGGGGGCAGCGGCGAACGGGUGAGUAGCACGUGGGUAAUCUGCCCUCGGUUCUGGGAUAGCCCGGGGAAACCCGGAUUAAUACCGGACAGCCUCUUGAGCUCUCGGGCUCUCGAGAAAAGGUGCUUCGGCCUCCGACUGAGGAUGAGCCCGCGGCGGAUUAGCUUGUUGGCGGGGUAACGCCCACCAAGGCGACGAUCCGUAGCUGGUCUGAGAGGACGAUCAGCCACACUGGGACUGAGACACGGCCCAGACUCCGUACGGGAGCAGCAGGUGGGGAACUCGUUAGCGCAAGUGGGACGAAAGCCUGACCGCAGCGACGCCGCGUGAGGGAAGAAGGCCUU
rnacentral:rRNA from 1 species